UGUGAUAUAGUUUAAUUAAAACAUUAAUUUUCGGGGUUAAAGAUCUAUUAUUUAUUGGUAUAGUAUUACUA
rnacentral:tRNA from 1 species